AGUGAACGCUGGCGGUAGGCCUAACACAUGCAAGUCGAACGGCAGCACAGUGCUAGCUUGCUAUUACGGGUGGCGAGUGGCGGAUGGGUGGGGAAUACAUUGGAAUUUACAUUUUCGUGGGGGAUCACGUAGGGAAACUUACGCUAAUACCGCCUACGACCUACGGGUGAAAGUAGGGGAUUUUUGGUCCUAGCGCGAUUGACUGACGGGAGGUUGGCUUAGUUAGUUGGCGGGGUAACGGCCCACCAAGGCGACGAACCGUAGCUGGUCUGAGAGGAUGAUCAGCCACACUAGAACUGAGACACGGUCCAGACUCCUACGGGAGGCAGCAGUGGGGAAAGUUGGACAAGGGGCGCAAGCCUGAUCCAGCCAUACCGCGUGGGUGAAGAAGGCCUUCGGGUUGUAAAUCCCAUUUGUUGGGAAAGAAAAGCAGCAGGUUAAUACCCCGCUGGUCUGACGGUACCCAAAGAAUAAGCACCGGCUAACUUCGUG
rnacentral:rRNA from 1 species